rnacentral:rRNA from 1 species
CCUACGGGAGGCAGCAGUGAGGAAUAUUGGUCAAUGGGCGGAAGCCUGAACCAGCCAAGUAGCGUGCAGGAUGACGGCCCUACGGGUUGUAAACUGCUUUUAUACGGGAAUAACGCGCCUUACGUGUAGGGCUUUGCAUGUACCGUAUGAAUAAGGACCGGCUAAUUCCGUGCCAGCAGCCGCGGUAAUACGGAAGGUCCGGGCGUUCUCCGGAUUUAUUGGGGUUAAAGGGAGCGUAGGCCGCAUGUCAAGCGUGCUGUGAAAUGUCCGGGCUCAACCCGGGCCUUGCAGCGCGAACUGGCGUGCUUGAGUCCGCGGAAAGCAGGCGGAAUUCGUGGUGUAGCGGUGGAAUGCUUAGAUAUGACGAAGAACCCCGAUUGCGAAGGCAGCUUGCUGCAGCGGAACUGACGCUGAUGCUCGAAAGCGCGGGUAUCGAACAGGAUUAGAUACCCCUGUAGUC